GCACCAGUCAGAUAAAAGAACAUCUUAACAUAUAACAGAGUAAUAUUAUCAUAUUGGUAUCUUAAACAUAAUAUUGUUAUACCUCAUCCAUGUAAGGACAUGUGGCAAACCAAAAGAACACCUUAACAAUAAACCAAUUGGUGGCGAAUUGGGAAGUCACUCAUAAGUCCUACCUUCCAUCACGCCCAUAUGGAAAAUGCAAGCAAUUUGAUACCCAAGUCUCCAGGCUUUCAUUGGGAACGUGGUGUCGUUGGUCACCAAACAUCAUGUGGCUCAACCACUCUAUAUCAUCAAGUUAGAAUAAAUGACAGGAUUUGUC
rnacentral:lncRNA from 1 species